UUGUGUUCAAAACUAUUCAACCCCCACUGCAGUACAGUCUUAUAGCAAGUCUGACAUUUUUUUAUCUUAUUCAUAAUCAGAUCAAAUAAGGACCUGUAAAAUAGACAAAUGCAACUUAAAUUACAACAAUAUUUUGUGUAAUAUACCAACAAAUAUCCUUUUUAUGAUUUCCUCACUGACAAAAUUAUUCAACCUCCUAAAAAUGACCUUAAAUUAUUUCUUUAGAACAGAGGUUUCAAUCAAGUGUUGAAAACACCUGCAGAUGUGAACAGAACCAUAACAAGCAACAAGUAAGCAGAUGUAAAAGGACUGCAAUACUCUGCUCUUUCUUCACAGUUAAUGGUGUCUUUGCAACAUGGUAACAGAAAUCUUGGGUUUAAAUGUCAUGCAGUCAGUGACAAAGCUGAAGCUUAGGAGACGUUGGACCUUCCAACAGGACAAUGAUCCCAAGUAUACCUCCAAAUUUACCAGAGCUUGGUUGCAGACAAAGGGCUAGAAGAUUUUGGGGUGGCC